GCUGGAGAAUGGCUGUUCUUAAGUCAGGUUUUAUUUUUAGUUCCCGCUCCAGCUCUGUGUACGCAAAUCGCAGGGUCAGGAGGCACACCCUGGGAGGCACAGUGCAUGCUCAUGCUUUUGGUAACAUCUGAUUCACUCAGCCCCAGACCCAGCCUAAACAGGUCCUGAGGGAGAUUGUUAGAUCUGCCUUUGAAUUAAAACCUCCACUGAGGUGAGAAGCUGUGGUGUAACGUUUGAUUAAUUUACCUAUGAUUUCUGAUCCGUCGUGAAGUAAAUCAGCCUUGAUGGAGGAAUUGUACUGAUGGAAUAUUGAGGAAAUGCCAGGUCUAGUUAGAGAUUUAGAGACCUUCCCCCAUCCCCAACUCUGCACGCAGGUGCCACACAUUUGUGCCCCCUCACACUCAGGGGAGUUGCGUUCAUGCCGGGGGCCGUGUACACACUUGGGGGCAUCAAGAGAAGGGCACACAGAGGGGGCACAUAGAGUGGGUGGGAGCCUCAGGCCCCAUCCUUGUUGCCGACGGUUUUACCAUCACAUUCAUGACUCACUCUUCAAGUUUAACACUUGAAUCUUGAAAGGCCCUUGGAAAGGAUGUAAGAUGGUUUCAUUUUGUAAUAGCUUCUCUAGUGAAUAGUUUUAGAGACAAGUUCUGGGGUCUUGAAUCUGAAUACUCUAAGAGCUAAUGGGUUCAUUUGGUAAAAAUGUAUGCUGUUGCUUGAGAAAGAGGGCAGAGUUUAUUAAUCAAUUCUUCCUUCUCCCUCAGAAGACAAAUGUGGCAGCAGUCACACACACUCUCAGAAACACCAUCAAAUUUGUAUCCUACUGACUUUGCCACAGUCACACUUAAAAUGACAAGUUCAAAAAGAAAAAUGAGAACACCCUGGAAAAAGGGAAACCAUAAAUGUGAUGGAAAUACUUAAAGUCUUUUCAAUUGUUAACAACUUAUGCUAAUUUGAGGAAUUCUUCAGUGAUAUUUUUUAAAGAACUCAAAAACAUUUAGUGGGUAAUCAGUAUGACUUGGAAAUCUUUAAUAUGGAGAGCAGAGUCAGGAAAUAGCAGGUUCAUGGGGCAAGAAGUUUUAUUGAUCGCUGUAGGACAGAAUAAUUAUUGCUUUGUAGCCAGAGGCGGCAGUUGUUCCGGAGGGAACAGUAGAAUCUAUUUUUUAAACAAGGAUUCUUAUUUGUGUGUUUUUUUUUCUGUCUUAGAGACCUGAUAUCAUUGUAAAUUCUGCAACCAUACCUGGUCGAUCUUUGCUGUGGUUAAACUUGAAAGGCACCGCAGAAUAUGAACAGGAGUUACAGCGAUCCAGGGUGUAUGAUGUUUCUGUUUGGGAGGCUUCUUGGUGAGACGGAGAUUUUCUUACUGAUUCCAGGAGUCAGAGUGGUAUAAAGGGAGGGGCCUGUGGCUGCAGCCCAAGAUCUGAGUUCUUAUCUUGCCUUUGCUAUUAACUUAGCUCCAUGGGUGAGUCCCCUUCUUGGGGUUCUCAUCUUUGCAUGAGGGGGGUAUUAGUCUGUUCUCACACUGCUAAUAAAGACAUACCUGAGACUGGUAAUUUAUAAAGAAAAAGAGGUUUAGGCAGGGUGUGGUGGCUCACGCCUGUAAUCACAGCACUUUGGGAGGCCGAUGCGGGCGGAUCACGAGGUCAGGCGUUCGAGACAAGCCUGGCCAACAUGGUGAAACUCCGUCUCUACUAAAAAUACAAAAUUAGCUGGGCGUGGUGGCGCAUGCCUGUAAUCCCAGCUACUCGGCAGGCUGAGGCAGGAGAAUUGUUUGAACCCAGGAGGCAAAGGUUGCCGUGAGCCGAGAUCGCGCCACUGCACUCCAGCCUGGGCAACAGGGCGAGACUCCAUCUAAAAAAAAAAAAAGAGGAGGUUUAAUGGAGUCACAGUUCCACAUGGCUGGGGAGGCCUCACAGUCAUGGUAGAAGGCAAAUUAGAAAUGAGGAGCAAAGGCACGUCUUACAUGGUGGCAGGCAAGAGAGCCUGUGCAGGGGAAUUUCCCUUUAUAAAACCAUCAGAUCUCUUGAGACUUACUAUCCUGAGAAUAGCGUGGGAAAAACCCGCCCCAUGAUUCUGUUACCACCCACUGGGUCCCUCCCACAACAUGUGGGGAAUUAUGGGAGCUACAAAUCAAGAUGAGAUUUGGGAGGGGACACUGCCAAACCAUAUCAAGGGGGUUGUGGUAUAGAAUCUCUAAAGAGCUUUCUAGUCUGAAAUGUCUAGGUUUGUGACCCUUGUGAAGGAAGAAAGGAAGGAGGGUUUGGGUGCUAGUUUUCCUAUAUAAUGCACGAGGAAUGGAGUUUAGUUUGGAGUUAAGAUCCAUGGACGUCUAGCCCAGGAAUCUGUCCAAAGCACAGACAUCAAGUUUGUGAAUUACUGUUGGAGGUGAUGACAGUUUAACAGAUUGUGAGACACUGUCAUUAGGUCAGCAAGUUACGGUGUAUGCCUGGGUAGAAUUUUCCCCCAUAAAGAAUUGUAGACCCCAGUUCCCCAUUGGAACCAGAGAACUGAGAGUUUUUAGCCCUUAGCUGAGUAAUCAGCGGAAGCUGAGUCAAGUCAGUUGGUUGUGGAUAACAGCCUGGGAAUGUUUGGGAAUUUUGCCCUUGUUUCAUGGGGGAAGGGAGAGAAUGCCUUUCCUUGUCAGAUGGAGGUUGCAGAGCUCCAGAUCUUCGAGGACACUUUGGGAUUGUCCAAAGUAGUUUUCUAGUAACUGGAGUCACUGCAUUGAAAGAAAGUGGUUUUAUUAUCUUAGAUGAUAGUUUUACAGAGCACUUAGGACCCUGUGCAGUCCCAUGUUUUCUUGCAUGGCUCUUUUAAAUUAAUGUAAGCUGUGAAUUAAUGCAAGCCAUCAUUAGUCUGUGAAAUGGUACAAGGAAGGAGAAACAGCAUGGCGGCAGCUCCAGGAGAUGUCAUCACUAGGGGAUUCCCAUCAGCAGGCAGAGCUCCAUUAAUAAAGACGCAUUUAGAGACCUGGGCUCUGUGACCAAUCGGCCGUUCAGAGCAGCGUUCCUGCUUGUGAGCUAAUCAGGGCUAAUCUUUCAUAUUAAAAGUAUUAAGGAACAUAUGACAUUAAAGCGUCACCCAGUGCCGCGGAGGAUUAUGGCUCUUAUUAGUGGAGCAAAAUGUAAAACGUUUUGGUUUAGUAAAUCUAUAAGGCUUGAUUUAUUCAUAAGCGCAUGCAAUGCUUGCAAGGGGCAGCUGCCAAAUAAUUAUUGUUUAUGGUGAGAAUGUAUGGAAAUCAUUUAAUCCAGUGACGACUUCAUUGUUAUUUAUUGAAAAGCAGUGACAUUACCUCUUAAUGUCUGGGGCUGGGGAGCUUUGGAGAUUUAGUCGGUGCCUGCCGAGCCCCCAAAAAGAUGCUCGUGGAAGAUUGCAGGUAAGUAUGUGUGAUGAUGUGGCUCCAAAUAACACCCCUUGGCUUGUAAAUGGAGACGUAUUUAUGAGUGCUUUCUACUGUUGCCAUAAAAGUGUUGGAAUUAUAGUGCCUUAGGAGUCAUGCUGCUAAUUUUUAUUUUCCCCGUUAUUAAAAUUUCUGUCAUUUGAAUUGCGUACUCUGCAGUCUUGGCAGAAUUACUCAAUUUACCAUUCAAAGUUAAAUCAAAAUUAGUGGAGUUAGUUAAUAUACAACUCAUUUGAAUAAAGGAAUGUUUAUUCAUGAAGUGUGAGGAGAAAGUGUGAAGAUGGCCUUAUGUUUAUGUGGGCAGCUCCUGCCAAGUUUUAAAGCCUGGUUUUAGGAACGUUUUUGGGAAUUGCCAUUUUUACUGUAGUUGAUUGUAGAGGACAAGAUGCUGGCAGGUGGCACAUGGGACAGGAAAGUGACUAGACAAGCAGGACUUACCCAGCUGUGACAUGGCUCAACUGUGGACUCCAAAAAGUAGAAUUAGGUUGUGUUUUUAUGAGACUGACCCUUUUUAAAAUUUAUAUUUUAUAAUGUAAAUGACAUUUCAGUAAUAUUAAGGGAACUUAAACAAUCACAUUAUUUUCUUUGGUUAUCUGACAUUGUAACUGGAGUUCCAUUUGUUUAUCAAUAAGAAAAUUUAGUAUAUAUGCUAAAAACUCAUAAUGAAUCCUAACUGGGCACCCAGGCUUGAGGGAAGCAGAGAGACACUCAUUAAAUAUUAGAUAGCUUAGUAAUAAGAGAGCAGAACACAUUGGUAUAAGAAAGGGUAGGAUUAUUUGACAAGUAUGUCUGUAAAUAAACCAAAAGUCAUAGUUAGAUAUUUUAUUAAAAAAUGUUUAAAUAUUCUAAAAGUUUUAAAUAAAUAUUUUAAAAAGUGAGUUAGUAUUGUAUUGUCAAAAAGCCAUUUUUGAUGAUGGUGUGUGAAAGAGGGAACAUUCAGGUAGGAAACAAAGUAACCCUUUCUCAAUAGGCACUGAAUGGACCUUUUACAACAAUUCCCAUGGUUUUGAAUUCUAUCUGAUCAAGUAGAGAGUCUGUGUACACAUUCAUCAUGGUGUAGACCAGGAUGGGCUUGGCUUGUAGAUGUGUGUGACAGAGAGAGUAGGUAUGUAUGUGUUUGUAACUUUUGGUGUAAACAGUAUUUAAUUUUAAUAUCUAUCAUUUACACAUCACAUCAUAAAAGAGUCCUGCUGUGAAUCAAAACCCUUCAUAUAGGUAAUGGCAAAUAACUCUUUGUUUAUGAGUAAAAAAUGAAUAGUUUUUUUUUCCCCCCAGAAAUCCGUGUUUGGUGUUUGUAUUUGUUUUUCACUACUCACAAUAUGCCACACACUCUCUUUUUUAUUUUUAUUUUUUUGAGACAGGGUCUCAUUCUGUCUUCCAGUCUGGAAUGUAGUGGCGUAAUUUUGGCUCACUGCAACCUCUGCCUCCCGGGGUCAAGCUAUCCUUCUACCUCAGCCUCAUGAGUAGCUGGAACUACAGGCACGCACCACCAUGCCUAGCUAAUUUUGUAUUUUCGUAGAGAUGGGGGUCUUCCUGUGUUGCCCAGGCUAGUCUCGAAUUCCUGAGCUCAAAUGAUCUUUCCACCUUGGCCUCCCAGAGUGCUGGGGUUACAGGCGUGAGCCAGUGUGCCUGGCCCCACACACUCUCUUUGGUCAUCUUGAACAGUGAAUGAAUGAAUCACGAAUUUCAUUCUGUUUGUGUCAUAGCUCUCCAAUUAGAAGAUACUUUUGUGUGCACCUCCUGUGGUACCAGGUAACGACGUUUAAUCCUGUCAAUCCUCAGAACAUCCUUUUGAAGUGGCUGGUAUUAUUCUUAUUUCAUAGUUGAAGAAAGUGUGUUUGUUCCCAGAUCAGGCAGUUUGAAGUAGAUUUUAAGCUAAGAGGAUUCUGGCCAGUUCUGAAAUCGAUGCUUUGAAAAUAGCAGGAGGUCUGUAAAUAUUUGUUUAUUGAUUAGAUUAUAUCAUUAAGACUUUAGAUUAAAAUGGUCAGACUGAAUAUCACUGAGAAAAGUUGUAGAGUUGGUUUCUUGGUGAUUUUUAAGAGUAGGGUAGAAAGCUGCUGUCCAGAAUAUUUUCCAAUUUGUCUUUUUUGGCGGCAAAUAAGUGGAAGAGAUGUGGUCUGGAAGUUCUUUGCCGAAUGGUAACCAUGAGAUUAUGUAAAGUUAUGUAAAUUGCAUCAGAUGCUAUUUGGGUUUUUCUGCGCUACAUGAAAACCGUAAGCAUGAAGCAGUGACUAGAAGGUUUUCCUUUUUAGUGCUAGUCAUAAAUGAAUUUAUUUUCUCCUGCUUCUCAACCCAGCAACAUAUGUAAUUUAAGUCAAGCAUGUGUUUGAUUCUGAGUGGAAUUCGAGGGGGGAGUUGGUGCUGUGUGUUUCCAUGGCCUCGUGGCUCAUUUUUGCUUCCGUGUUAACUCCUUCACUUCCAUAAUUGUCAGAGCCUCCAACUCAUCUGGCCUCUCCCUCCCUUGGUGCCCCACCUCCCCUUGUAAGGAUCCUGGCCCUGGCCUGCUCCAGAUGCAGCUCAGAUGAUCACGGCCUCGGGUGCAUGGAGGGCUCAGCUCCCAUCUGGCCCCGUUCCUGCUCUGGGUGGACCUUUGAACGUCCUGAAUGAUCCUUGGGUUUCACUUGUAUGGGAAGCCCCGUGGCAGCUUUACACAGACAAGGCCCCCGGGCACAGCUCGGCCUGCAGGAUGUCUGGCUGCUCCAGGCUUGACCCUGCCUCGUUGACCUCCCUUUAUUCCCCCUCCACCUCCACCUGUUCACUCUUCUUCGUGCCACUGACCGUCCUCUAGUUUGUUGGACUGGGGAGCUUCUCCCACUGUGCUCGCAGCUCUGGCCUCCUAUCCAAGCCUCUGACUCCCCUGCUGCUUCUUAUUAAGUCUUCUCUCAUGGCUCCAUAUUUCAGGGCAUACCUCCAUUCUAGGGCCAUGCAGAUGUUCUAGGGACAUGCUGAUGUCCCAGGGGUAUGCAGAUGUUCUAGGGCCAUGCCUCCAUUGCAGGGCCACCAUGCCUCCAUUCCAGGGCCACCAUGCCUCCAUUCCAGGGCCAUGCAGAUGUUCUAGGGCCAUGCUGAUGUCUCAGGGCCAUGCAGAUGUUCAAGAGCCAUGCCUUCAUUCCAGAGCCACCAUGCCUCCAUUCCAGGGCCAAGUAGAUGUUCUAGCGCCAUGCUGAUGUCCCAGGGCCAUGCUGAUGUUCUAGAGCCGUGCCUCCAUUCCAGGGCCAUGCAGAUGUUCUAGGGCCAUGCAGAUGUUCUAGAACCAUGCCUCCCUUCCAUGGCCAUACAGAUGUUCUCGGGCCAUGCCUCUGUUCCAGGGCCAUGCAGGUGUUCUAGGGCCAUGCCGGUGUUCUAGGGCAAUGCCUCCAUUCCAGGGCCAUGCAGAUGUUCUAGGGCCAUGCAGAUGUUCUAGGGCCAUGUUGAUGUCACAGGGCCAUGCAGAUGUUCUAGGGCCAUGCAGAUGUUCUAGGGCCAUGUUGAUGUCACAGGGCCAUGCAGAUGUUCUAGGGCCAUGCAGAUGUUCCAUGGCCAUGCAGAUGUUCUAGGGCCAUGUUGAUGUCACAGGGCCAUGCAGGUGUUCUAGGGCCAUGCAGAUGUUCCAGGGCCAUGUUGAUGUCACAGGGCCAUGCAGAUGUUCUAGGGCCAUGGUGAUGUCACAGGGCCAUGCAGAUGUUCUAGGCCCAUGCAGAUGUUCUAGGGCCAUGUUGAUGUCACUGGGCCAUGCAGAUGUUCUAGGGCCAUGUUGAUGUCACAGGGCCAUGCAGGUGUUCUAGAGCCAUGCCUCCAUUCAUUCCGGGGCCAUGCUGAUGUCCCAGGGCCAUGCUGGGUUCCAUUGGGUUUCACUCCAGGGCUGUGCCAACAUUCCAGAGCCAUACCAACGGUCGUGCCUCCAACUCGAGUCCUUAGGUUCUGCCGGUCAUUAGGGAGAGUCUGCCUUUUUGAGCCUGGCUCUCAGGGAAUGGUUGGUUUGUGCAAAGCUUGUCUCCUGAGUCUAGAAUCAUGUUAAAGCUUGGUGAGUACGACCUUCAGUUCAAAGUCUUGGGAACUUAGAUGGUUCCCAAGGAUUAUUCAGAGGUUAAUUUGGAAUUGUUUUAGUCAGGGUUUUCCAUAGAAAUAGACCUGAUAGGGUCAGUACAUACAUAGCAAGAAAUUUUAUGUUUAGGAACAUGUGAUUGUGGAUGACCAGUGAGCCCAAAAUCUGAUGGGGAAGAUCUGUAGGCUGGAAACUUAGGAAAGAGCUGCAGUUUGAGUCUGAAGCAGGGGGAGCCAGUGUUGCAGAUGAAGUCCGAAGGCUGCCUGCUGGAGAAUCCCCUCGGGCUUUGGGGAGGUCAGCCUUUCAAUCUAUUUGGGCCUUCGACUGAUUUGAUGAGGCCCACCCACAAGCAAGAGGAUGAUCUGCUGGUCAGUGUGUACUUAUUUAAAUGUUAGUCGCAUCCAACAACACCUUCACAGAACCACCCAGAGUAAUGUGUGACCAGAUGUCUUGUCUGGGCACCGUGGCCCAGCCAAGUUGAUGCAUAAAAUUAACCCUGCCAGGCGUGGAUUCAGAGCUAGAGCUGAAUCGCCCACUUGCUCUCCCCUGGCGUCAUCUUAAUGCCUUCUGGAGAGGCAGAACAUUUUGUGUACACUUGGAAUCACUGUGCUACUUUGCCCUAACAGACAAUGUUCAGUUGAUAUUUCUGAAUAUAGAUGCCCUUAACAGAAAGCUCUGGUAGGAAUUCGAGAGAUUGCGAAGUAAAUGCAUGGAUUAUCUUUAAUGCUGUGAAAGUAUAAAUGUCAGAGUGGCAGGUCAGAGAGUCUCUUGAAAACCAAUACGAAGUGGGUAGGAAGAAGAGGCAGAGACAUUUCACCCACUUUUUAGGCUCACUGCCUGCUGCUCAGCAGGGCCACCAUGAUUUAUCUGAAUUCUGUGUCAAUUUCCAUAACUGCAUAUCACUCUACAGGUACCCACUGGGAUUACUUACAAGAGAUUUUGCUAAUGAGGAUGUACUUCCGGGUACAGGGUUCUGUGGCAUGCAUUUAAAAAGGCAGUAGCUGGCUGGGCGCCGUGGCUCACACCUGUAAUGUAAUUCCAGCACUUUGGGAAGCCAAGGAGGGAGGAUCACUUGAGGCCAGGAGUUUAAGACCAGCCUGGCCAACAUGGUGAAAUGCUGUCUCUAUUAAAAAUACAAAAAUUAGCCAGGCGUGGUGGCACAUGCCUGUAAUCCCUACUUGGGAGGCUGAGGCAGGAGAGUUGCUUGAACCCGGGAGGCGGAGGUUGCAGUGAGCCAAGAUCAUGCCACUGCACUCCAUCCUGGGUGAGGGAGCGAGACUCCAUCUCAAACAAAACAAAACAAAACAAAACAACAACAACAACAAAACGCAGUAGCUAGUGUGCCUUCAUCAUGGGUUGCCUUGAACUCCUUUGAAAUCCUGCAUCUUAAUCACUAUAUGGCCUGUCCUCAACCCCAGGAAAAAAACGAACACAUGAGCAGCCUUUGAGGUUAGCAUUACACUUCCACGAGGAUGAGAGGGGCCUCCAGCCUGGGGUGUGCCUUUUAGAGAACGCAGAGAAUCACAUGCACAGACAACCAUGUGUAUUCAAGAGUACGGAGAUGCCUCUCCCUCGGAUCCUGUUUUCAGGACUGGUCUCCAGCACCCUGUACCUACACAUCAGGCUCAAAUGGAGAAAUUCUCUGCAUCUCUUGUGCCCUUGGGAAAAAAGACCUGUGUCCGAAUGCUGUGAUUUUGUGAGUUGUGGUGUUGCCACUGUCAGAGUAAGAGAUAAAUUAAUGGUCAAAUUACUUCUUUCAGAAAGCACAAAUAUAAUAAAUUUUUUACAGAGUGAAGAAUCACUUUGCAAUAGUUCUGAGCAGUUUCUAUUCUGGAAGAAAUUAGUACAGAAUUUCCAACAGUUGUAUACAUUGACUGGGGCUUCAUUAUUUAUUUAUUUAUUUAUUUUUGAGACAGAGUUGCACCUUGUCGCCCAGGCUGGAGAGCAGUGGCUCUAUCUCGGCUUACUGCAGCCUCUGCCUCCUGGGUUCAAGCAGUUCUCUGCCUCAGCCUUCUGAAUAACUGGGAUUACAGGCGCCCGCCACCACGCCCAGCUAAUUUUUUUGUAUUUUUAAUAGAGAAGGGGUUUCACUAUCUUAGCCAGGCUGGUCUUGAACUCCUGAUCUUGUGAUCCAGCCGCCUCGGCCUCCCAAAGGGCUGGGGUUACAGACAUGAACAAAAUUAACUUUGUUUUACAAAAUGAAAAUGAAAUAUUUUACCAUACAAAUUCACACUGUUCUCACAUAUGGGAAUCUGGAACCCUAGACGUGACAUGGAUGAAGCCGAUGUUGACUUUUUACAUUGGCAACUGAGUGAAUGUUGAAUGCUAGAACUGUGGAUAGUUUUAUUUCUUUAUAAACAUGCUUAAUGAGAUUCAGUGCUGAAAAAAUAGAUAAAAUAUUUAAUUUUAUUUUAAUAUUUUAAAUUAAAAUGUUUGAUAUUCACUAAUUUUAAUUUGCAUUUCCCUAUUAAUUUUAGUAGACACUUUAGAAAGAGUAGGAGGACAUUUGGAAUCGUAGGACACUUAGAAGGAAAAUAGCAUUUUUGAACAAAAUGAUUAAAAAAUUUGAAUUUAGCAUUUUCUUCAGUUUACGUAUUUUGAUGAAAAGAAUUAAGAUGAAGUAGACUGGGUAUAGUGAUAUUUUAUCUUUUAAUCUGUUAGGUGAUUUCUGUGACUAGAACAUAAAUUAUGUGAAAAUCUAGAUUUUUAACUAAAUAGUUAAUUUUGCUGAAAGGAAGGCCAAAUAGAUAAAGAUAAAAUCAUUUAUGACUUACGUCUUUAUCUGAUUACUCAUCCAAACAUUGCUGGCCCAUCAGCAGAACACCCAGACUCAUGUUCUCAUAAUUGAAUUUAGUCAUCUCUGGCUUUUGGCCAACUUUCUGUCUUCUGUGCUCUAGUGCUUUUCCAGACUUUUUGAUUGACAUUAUGAAGAUAUAUUUGUCAGUGAAGGAGGACAGGGCAUACUUUACUUAAAAGCCUGUUUGCUUGAUUAAUAACUUGUAAAUCUUAAACAUGUGCUACGUGAGCUACAUUUGUAUUUGCACUUGGUGUGUCUGGGCCUGUUUUAGGGUUCAGAUACAGCCCCUGUGAACUAGAAGUCUUUCUAAGGAUGAUUUGGGCACGCGUGGAUUUAGGGAGCCAGUUUCUACAUCCACCAGGCCUGUCUCUUCCAUGAGACUGAUCUGCCUGAGAAUAGACCAGUGCCGUCCUUUCCCACCUGUCCCGUCUUCUCUCCCACUCUUUCCUCUCCUACGUUGGUUGAGAAGGAUGUCACCAACUGAGGUAUCGAGAUCUCAUGCCCACUAUGCCAGCCGUGACAUGCAGACACACCAGUUUAUCUUUUUAUGUUUACUCAUGACACUGCCACGUUAUUCGUGUUAUUUUGAUCAAGACUAAUGACAAUUUUAAUCAUCUAAGCCAAAAGAAAAUUUUUCUCUUAUGGUCAAAGAAAUUUUUUAAAAAGUUGAAUUAUAUACUGCCUACUUUUUGUUGUUGUUGCAGAGAAAUUGGAUAGGAUAAACAAUACGAGACUGUUGGGAUAAGAGUCUGGGGCAUAUAGGCUGCUGUUAAAGUAGUACUUAUGUAUAUUUUUAUUUAUUUAUUUUUUUGUUUUAUUUAUAUUUUUUUUUUUUUGGAGAGGGAGUCUCGCUCUGUCACCCAGGCUGGAGUGCAGUAGCGUGAUCUCGGCUCACUGCAACCUCCAACUCCCGGGUUCGAGCGAUUCUCCUGCCUCAGCCUCCCAAGUAGCUGAGAUUACACGCACGCACCACCACACCCAGCUAAUUUUUUGUAUAUUUAGUAGAGAAAGGGUUUCACUAUGUUGCACAGGCUGGUCUCGAACUGCUGACCUCAGGUGAUCCGCCUACCUCGGCCUCCCAAAGUGCUGGGAUUAUAGGCAUGAGCCACUGUGCCUGGCCUAUUAUGUAUAAUUUUAAAUGUAGGAUGGAAGGUAUCAGAUCAUUUACUGAAUAUAUUUAUGGGAGUAAUAUAGGAGUUUUAUUCCAAAUGUCAGAGUUGCAGUACACAGGAAAUUACAUCCUUUGUGAUGAUUGAAAUGAAUGAAACAUUUCUCAACGCCAAAUUGAAAAUGCAUGAUGGGAGGACAUGAGUUCUUCAAGAUUCUUGUAUGGGGGGUAUAUGAACAAGAAAGCUUGAGGACCAGUUUUCACAAAUGGUACUCAACCAUAGCCCUUCUCAUUUACCCAUUAAGAUGUUUUUUUUUUUUUUCUUUAUGAUUUAGAUGCUUAGAUGUUCUUAGGGCUUUGGAAGGAUUUAUCAUAAUUGAGCAUUUGCUGAGUUUCUGUUUCCGUCAUUGGAUUCCUUUGGUAAUAUAUUUGCAAGUCUUUCUCUGAGUUCUUUGCUAAUAGGAAAACAAGAGCUGACAGGAAGAUCUUGGGUGGAUGGGUAAAAAUGGCUACUGGCUGUUGAUUUGGUCCACUGUAUCACCACAUUACUGUUGACAUAGUAAUGGAAACACUUUAAUAUCAAUCAGUGCAUAUUGGGGUUCUAUUCUGUGCCUGGUGUUUUUUGGGUGGGAAUAUAUGAUACGGUUGUUAUUAAGCAUUUUAUAUUGAAGCACACUGGUAAUAUAGUCAACUUUUGGCCAAUAGUGUGUACUCAGUGAUGAACUCAAUUUUGGCAAAGGGUGUCUUCUGUGGUGGCCCCCAGUGUACUUAUUUUAUUUAUUUAUUUAUUUAUUUUUAUUUAUUUUGAGAUGGAGUCUCACUGUGUCACCCAGGCUGGAGUGUAGUGGCACGAUCUCGGCUCACUGCAAGCCCCACCUCCUGGGUUCACACCAUUCUCCUGCCUCACCUCCCGAGUAGCUGGAACUACAGGUGCCCACCAUCACGCCUGGCUAAUUUUUAGUAUUUUUAGUAGAGACAGGGUUUCACCAUGUUAGCCAGGAUAGUCUUGAUCUCCUGACCUUGUGAUCUGCCUGCCCCGGCCUCCCAAAGUGCUGGGAUUACAGGCGUGAGCCACCACGCCCGGCCCCAGUGUACUUAUUUAUUUGUUGGCCAUUUCUGCCCUGCUGUUGACUGUUUCACUCCUUGGCUUAGCAAGAGGUGUUGGGAGCUGAUUUGAAACUCUAAUCUCUGGAGGCAUGGGGAAUAUGACUCCUCUAUUCUGGGUGGGGACUUCUCUGAGAUAGCAUUUCUUUUCUUUUGAGUUUAAAAAUGUGUCUGUCUAAGCCUGGGCAACAUAGCAAGACACCAUUUCUAAGAAAAAAAAAAUUAACCAGGUGUGGUGGUGCAUGCCUGUAGUCCCAGCUACUCAGGAGGCUGAAGCAGGAGGACUGCUUGAGCUCAGGAGGUCGAGGCUGCAGUGAGCUGUGAUUGCACCACUGUACUCCCACCUGGGUGACAGAGUGAGACCCUGUCUCAAAAUAUCUUUAUGCUAUACAUUUUUAGAGGUCUGUUCAACAGCUAUGGAAACUUCCAAGAGCCAGGCACUGACCUGACCCUGGCACCUGGAGCGUCCCUUCUGGGAGAAUCCGCCUGUGGAUGAAUAGAAAGGCCCCUGCUCUCUGCUGGUAUUGAAAUAAAACACUGGCAUCUCUGGAACUGAGUUAUGUCUAGUAAGUGGCUCCUCCGACCAGUAUACGGGGUGGGAAGUGUUGGUGUGAGUCACCUGGCCUGAGCUAGGGCCUCAGGCCUGCCUAGCACUGAAAGGAGCCCAGAAAAAAGCGACUUCAGAAAAAAGCGACUUCAUCUGCUUGCAUCACACUGUCCUCAUCUUCACCGUGACAAACUGACACAAUCUUGCUCUCGGUUUGAUGGCAAACGCUCUCUGUAACCUGUCAUGUGGAAAGUUCCCUCCUCAUCAGAUAUAUAUAUAUAUAUUUUUUUUUUUACAGGUAAGAGGCUUUAAUAGGCCUUGACAAAGGGCCGUAUGAGUGGAGAAGUAUCUGCGCCCUAAUAGCAGGGCACUUGAAAUACAGCCACACGGGUACAGUGUCUUUCCCUUAGCCAGUAGCUCCUCACUCGGCCACGUCCACUGUCCAGAAUACUGUCGAAGAGUUGCCUUUUUACCCCCUGUGAGCUCAGAGAAUUUUGAUCAUACUUGCCUGUGCUAUAUAAUUGUUUAUGUAUAACUGAUCUCAGCCAUUUGCUUAUGAAAGUAAGGCUGCGUGAAUGUUUUGUUUUCAGAAAUACACAUUUUGGAUCCUAAUGCCACCACUUAAUUAAACGUGCGAACCUGGGCUAGGUAUUUUCUCUCUCAACUUUGUGACCUGCAGUAUUCCCAUAUGUAAACUGGAGAUAAUGAGACCUGCCUUACAGGAUCGUUUUGUGCAUUAAAUGGGAUUUGUGUAAACUCCUUAGAGCAGUGCUAAGAAUGAAGGUGGUAAUGAGAAAUGCAGUUUUUAUCCAUCCUCAUUCUUCUGGUUAAGGAUGGUAUUUUAUUCACCUUUUGAUUUCUUAUAAUGCCUUGCACAUAGUUAAAGCUCAGCAGUUGUUAAAUGAAUAAGGAACAAAGCCCCCAUGAAAAAACAACAACACACAAAACUAAUUAGUACUAGUGUAUGUGUGUUAUUCACUGGAGAGCCUUUUCAAAUCCUACCACAUUCAGAGACAACAAUCACAUUACUUGAUUUUGAAGCCCAGCACAUGUUGGAAGCAGAAAAUUAGAAGCAUGAGAAGACAGCUGUUAGUCAUGCAUAUUGAUAUCACAAAUAAAUCCUAGUGGGCCACCCAAUUGCAAGGAAGGAGGUAGAGGAGCUGGGAAAAGUGGUAUCAACAGUAGAGCAAUCUAAUGCCUUUUACCAGAGGAGCGGAUAGCCCCAUCCACAGAUCCAGAGGGUGUGUGGCUACUACCAAGGGAAUUGCCAGCCAUUGCAUAGUAAAGCAGAAUAAUUGAUUUAUGGCACUCAAUCCUCCAAAAAGUUGUAAAUUUCUUUGGUGUCUACCAAGUAGGUGGCAACAGCAAAGGCUAACCUCAGGGGGAUUUGCACAGGAGGAAAAACAAGAUUGUAAAAACCUGCUGUUCUAGGAGUUGAAAUGUAUUAUUAUUAUGGCUAUGGUAGAACUCUUCUCUUCUUUGUCAUGCAGACUUAAAGUAUAAAACAGUCUUUAUUCCAGCUUGUUAAAAGUGGGAAUGCCGUAAACCAACACAGUGAGCCUGGAGCAAUGACAAGCUACACAAAAAUUAAACAUAUUUGUAUUUCAAGAUGUAGCGAGCUGUCGUGGCCAGUUCAUGGCCACUUUGGGAAGACAUUUAUUAGGAGGAAGCAAGAUGGCACUAAAGCGUGGGAGAGGACAGAAGCUGGAGCCGUCAUGGGUGCAGAAUAAGGCUGGCCCGGAAGAGUGGCUGGGUGGGGUCACACCUGGUAGUUCAGAUAUCUUUUGCUAUCGAUUUUCUAAUUUUCUAAGAUGAAGUGUUAAUGUCCCAGCGUGUGGAUGGUGCCUCCGGAUGGACAAUUCAGGUUGCAUGCCCCAGACCUCGUGAUUGGGACUGGCCAGAACAGACAAGACCCCAUCAGCAGGAUGGACAAGACCCCAUCAGCGGGAUGGACCCCAUGGAAAAAAAAAAAAUCUAGGAACUAAGACACGAUUGGGCAGGAGGCUGGGAAACUUACUAGGAAGGAUCAAGGUUGACUUUGCCACCAUGACCUAGCCACGAACACGAUGGGAAGAAGGCUGUGGAGUGGGGCUGUGGGCAGUGCCUCCCGGGGCCCUGAAUGAAGCAAGCUUGGAGAGGGAGCUGGUGUGUGGGUCUGAGUGGCUUCUUUAAUGUCAGCAUGCGCCUAUGAGGUGCUGACGUAGCCUUAUUGCCUCUUUGAGAGUUGGCUUCCCAUAGGGACAUCCUAGACACUGGAAGAUUUUUGCAUCGGCAUCUUCAGUCCAUCAAAUACUGUCCUUGAAAUCCCACUGUCCUCAGUUGGUGAUGGACAGGGGACAGACAUUUGUGGUCUCAUGCUGAGGGUCUUAGGAAGGCAAGAGGUGGAUAAAAGAGUCAGGGAUUGAGGGCCGGGCACGGUGGCUCACACCUGUAAUCCCAGCACUUUGGGAGGCCGAGACAGGCAGAUCACCCUAGGUCAGGAGUUUGAGACCAGCCUGCCCAAUAUGGCAAAACCCCGUCUCCAUUAAAAAUACAAAAAAUUAGCUGGGUGUGGUGGCGGGCACCUGUAAUCCUAGCUAGUCGAGAGGCUGAGGCAGGAGAAUUGCAUGAACCUGGGAGGUGGAGGUUGCAGUGAACUGAGAUCAUGCCACUGCACUCCAGCCUGGGAGACAAGAGCAAAACUCCGUCUCCCCCCCGCAAAAAAAAAAAAAAAAAAAAAAAAAAGAAAAGAAAAGAAAAAAGAGUCAGGGCUUGAAAGUGAGAGGAUCCAAACUGCAUCCUGUCCUGCCCACAGGGUGUUCUGUCCACCUUAAGUUUGACAUGGUGGUUCUGAACCAAGCCUGAGACUGUGUUGGGAUGAAAUUCCUGGGGGCUGUAGAGUUGGGCAGUCUGUGCUGAGCAUUCCAUCACACGUGCCAUUCCACACCAUUUGGAGAUCGAGCAGAACAGGUUUGAUUGAUGCCGGGUCAUUUUGUUUUAGAUCAUUUUCACAUUUAUGAUCUCUGGGAUUAUGGAAGAGGUCUGUGAUUCUUGUGAUUUCAAGAGAGGGGAUUUAAAAAUGGAUAGGGAGGUUUGUCACAGAUUCAUGAGACCUGGGAGUGAGAAGGAAAGCGGAGUCAGAGAGGUGGAGAAUGGGUGGGUGACCAUCCUUGACCUGGGAUCUCUGUGACCAGGACUCUCUCCAUUUCUCAUCCAAAUGUCCUUUUUGGAGGUCUCAUCCUUGUCAUGGUGGUGACAAGACAUGGAACUUACCACUUCUGAGGACUUGAACACCCUGAGAGCCUGAGGCUGCAGAAAUGACCGUGGCAGGUUCCCUGCCAUUCACGGAAACUGAAAUGUGCCAAAGAGCUUAUAUCCAAGCCAAACAGCGUUUGUAUUGGAGAAGUUGCCUUUCUCUCAAAAAGGAUGGAUAGGAAGCAGUUUUUAAAAAAAAUCUGCCUGCUUUCUGAAGAUGAACACAAAUCUGGUUACAUCCAACAGAAGAUAGAAUGAUUAUACAACAUGAGGCUUAAAUGUUUGUCUUUUAAAAUGUUCUUAGGUUAUGCAGCAAGAGUUUACAGUAGCCAACCUGUAUUUCCAAGGAGAUUUAAUCAGAGGAAGUAUCAAAGAAUUGAAGAUUAGUAUGAUUUUGAAGGUUUUCCUAAUUAUUUUUCUGAUGAUCUCUUCUCAACUAACAGAGCUGUUAAGUAGAGUUGAUUAAACAAUGUCAAUUUUUUGAAAAGCCCUUAAUGACAUAUUUACACAGUAGUUAUGAAGAGCCCCCCAAAGCCCAUCAUGGAUUAUAGGAGCAAGUUAUAGCCAUUAAAACCAUCUGUGAUUAUUUUUUUGUAGUAGAGAGUGAUGUCAAGCCAUCAGCUUCUGUUCAACAUAUUUCUUAGAAAAGGAUGUCUCAAAACUUCUUCGAGACCGUCACGAAAUGAAACAACUCCCCGAUCCCACACGAACCUCUCCCACCACCCUCAAACAUAAACCAACCCAAACCCUUUGAAAAGCUCCAAAGAAAAUAAAAUGUUUUUAGAACUUC